rnacentral:rRNA from 1 species
GGAAAGAUGAAAAGAACUUUGAAAAGAGAGUUAAACAGUACGUGAAAUUGUUGAAAGGGAAACGAUUGAAGUCAGUCGUGCUGGCGCGAAAUCAACCAUCUCGUCUUGAGGUCGCAUGGCGCGACGAGCCUCAAAACCGUCACGAAGCGUGAACUCUUGACGAAAAGGUGCACUUUCGUGUCCGCUGGUUAACAUCAAUUUCGACCGUCAUAAAAAGGCUGGAGGGAUGUGGCUCCUUCGGGAGUGUUAUAACCUUUAGCGGAAUGUGGUGUUCGGGAUUGAGGAUUGCAACGAAUACCUUCAGGGCUGUUCCACCUGGCUUCUCAUUGGUAUCCUGGUGACGACAGCUUGCUGACUUCGCUAGGAUUCGCCUCUGAACAGGCUAGAGUGUGAGCAAAUUCGUUAAGGAUGUUAACGUAAUGGCUUUAAACGACCCGUCUUGAAACACGGACCA